rnacentral:misc_RNA from 1 species
AGAGAGAGAGAGAGAGAGAGCAAUGGGAGGUUUAUUCUCUGCUCUUAAUGGAGACGCUGCAGCCGCCGGCGAAGAUUCCUCAUCGGCGGAUCAUUCGGCAGUCACAACUUUCCAUUCCUCUGAGCGAUGGCAGCUCCAUUUCAAUUCCAUGAAAGAGUUAUCCCAGCUGGUACAUAUUCUCUCAAUUUAUCUACAUCUACUUAAUUAGAAUUUUAUAUAGGGAUCUGGGUAUGAUAGUAUAUUUGGUUGUGUGUAAAUUUCGAGGGAAGAUGGUCGUAGAUUUUGCUGCAUCGUGGUGUGGACCUUGUAAGUUAAUUGAACCACAAGUUAAAGCCUUGGCUGCCAAGUUCACUGAUGUCCAGUUUGCCAAGAUCGAUGUGGAUGAAUUGCCUGAUGUGGCCCAGGAAUUUGGAGUUCAGGCUAUGCCAACGUUUGUGUUGGUGAAGAAAGGGAAAGAAGUGGAUAGGAUUGUGGGAGCCAAGAAGGAAGAGCUUGAAAAGAAGAUUCAGAAACACAGGGCCACUUGAUGCCUUCCUUCUUAUGUAACGAGCAAUGUAACUUUACUUUGUGUUGCUGCUUCUGCUGCUGCAAAUGUGAUGAUAAAAAAUAAACAAUGAUUUCCCUACUGUUAAACAAUUAUGCACAUCUUUUCUGGUUCCCUUAAUUGCCAAAUGCUUGACACCAAUGAUUUCUUCAUCUCAUCUUUCACUUGGAAACAGCCUUUCUGCUGUUUGCAGAAUAAGGCUGCGUACAUCAACCCGAAAUAAUUCGUGUUCCAGUAAUAGAUAAUUUUUAUUAGUGGGUAUAGAAUUUUGAUUAUGUUGAGAAUGAUUUUGUGAGACAUCAUUCGUUAUUGGAACAUAUUCCAAGUGAAAGAUGCACAUUCGAUAAUGAAAGACACUCAUCCAACUAUUGUGUGAGAUUCGUUGUCAGAUGAGCAUGCUCAUCUGAC